ACUCAGACGGUGUAGUGGUCAGCACGUCAGGUAUCCAUCCUGAAGACCUCAGUUCGAAUCUGAGUUUGAGCA